rnacentral:rRNA from 1 species
UACGGAGGGUGCGAGCGUUGUCCGGAAUCAUUGGGCGUAAAGGGCGCGUAGGUGGCCCGGUCAGUUCGUGGUGAAAGCGCGGGGCUCAACCCUGCGUCGGCCAUGAAUACUGCCGCGGCUGGAGCACUGUAGAGGCAGGCGGAAUUCCGGGGUGUAGCGGUGGAAUGCGUAGAGAUCCGGAAGAACACCGGUGGCGAAGGCGGCCUGCUGGGCAGUGCUGGACACUGAGGCGCGACAGCGUGGGGAGCAACAG